CAAAAACAUGUCUAUAUGAGUUGUAAUAUAAAGUCUAGCCUGCCCACUGAAUUUUGAAGGGCUGCGGUAAUUUGACCGUGCAAAGGUAGCAUAAUCAGUAGUCUUUUAAUUGAAGGCUUGAAUGAACGGUUGGAUGAAAGAAUAUCUGUCUCUUUAAUAAUUUAGAAUUUGACUUUUAAGUGAAAAGGCUUAAAUUUAAUGGAGGGACGAUAAGACCCUAUAAAACUUUAUAUAUAAAGUAUAUAAUCUUUAAAUUAUAUUAAAAUACUGAUAAAUUCUUAAUAUAUUUCGUUGGGGAGACGUUGAUAUAAUUUGUAACUGUCUGAGUGAAUAAAAUAACUAUCAUUAUAUUUUGAUCCUUCUUUGUGGGUUAUAAGAAUAAGUUACUUUAGGGAUAACAGCGUAAUUUUCUCAGAGAGUUCUUAUCGAAGAGAUUAGUUGCGACCUCGAUGUUGAAUUAAAAUUUCAGUUAGGUGUAGCCGCUUAGCUAGUAGGUCUGUUCGACCUUUAAAAUUUUACAUGAUUUGAGUUCAAACCGGUGUGAGCCAGGUUG
rnacentral:rRNA from 1 species